GUUUUAAUAGUUUAUUUAAUAUAAAAUAUUGAUUUUGUAAAUCAAAGAAAAAAAUAUUUUUUAAAACU
rnacentral:tRNA from 1 species